UCCCUGGUGGUUCAGUGGUUAGGACUCUGAGCUUCCACUGCAUUGGGCUCAGAUUUGACUCCUGGUCAGGGAA
rnacentral:tRNA from 1 species